rnacentral:rRNA from 1 species
AAUAGAUACCCCGGUAGUCCACGCCGUAAACUAUGGAUGCUAGCUGUAAGAAGUAUCGACCCUUCUUGUAGCGAAGCUAACGCGUUAAGCAUCCCGCCUGUGGAGUACGGUCGCAAGACUAAAACAUAAAGGAAUUGACGGGGACCCGCACAAGCGGUGGAGCGUGUUGUUUAAUUCGAUGGUAAGCGAAGAACCUUACCCAGGCUUGACAUCCUUGGAAGGCCUCCGAAAGGAGACUGUGUCUUCGGAAACCAAGUGACAGGUGAUGCAUGGCCGUCGUCAGCUCGUGUCGUGAGAUGUUUGGUUAAGUCCAUCAACGAGCGCAACCCUUAUGAAUAGUUGUAUUUUUCUAUUCAGACUGCCCUGGCAACAGGGAGAAGGGGGGAUGAUGUCAGGUCAGUAUUCCCUUACGUCUGGGGCUACAAACACGCUACAAUGGCCGGUACAAAGGGCAGCCAACCCGCGAGGGGAGCAAAUCCCAUCAAAGCCGGUCUCAGUUCGGAUAGCAGGCUGAAACUCGCCUGCUUGAAGUCGGAAUCGC